UCAUCCCUCCUUACCUAGGGUAUGGAGCUCGUGGAAUUCAGAAUGUUAUUCCUCCCAACUCUGUACUGAUUUUUACAACCAAGCUCAUGUCUAUUAAGAGGAAGUCGCUGUUCGAUCCAAAGUUACUUCUGCAAAUAGGUUUUUGGCCGGUCCUGGCUGGAAUGAUUCUGUACUAUCUGUAUAGAAAGGCAUCUAAGGAAUCUGGCAAGCAUGAAACAAAGUCGAGCAAGAAAAAUAAAAAGAAAUGAUAAAACUGUAAA